UACAGAGGGUGCGAACGUUGUUCGGAAUCACUGGGCAUAAAGCGCUCGUAGGCGGCACCGCAAGUGUGGGGUGAAAUCCCCACGGCUUACCCGUGGAACUGCCUGGCAGACUGCGGUGCUAGAGGUUGGUAGGGGGAGAGCGGAAUUCCCGGUGUAGCGGUGAAAUGCGCAGAUAUCGGGAGGAACACCGGUGGCGAAGGCGGAUCUCGUGGGCCUGUCCGUGACGCUCAGGCGCGAAAGCUAGGGGAGCGAACAGG
rnacentral:rRNA from 1 species